UUGCGAUAAAGGUAAACCUUCAGCGAUGAGGGGGCGCAAAGGAAAGGGUCUUGUAAUAGUGAACAGUGUCAGUAUAAGUAACAGACGCUUACAUUUAUAAUUGACACGAUAGAAACAAGAUGGCCUUACUACCGAA
rnacentral:ncRNA from 1 species